GGUUAAGCGACUAAGCGUACACGGUGGAUGCCCUGGCAGUCAGAGGCGAUGAAGGGCGUGCUAAUCUGCGAUAAGCGCCGGUAAGGUGAUAUGAACCGUUAUAACCGGCGAUACCCGAAUGGGGAAACCCAGUGUGACUCGUCACACUAUCAUUAACUGAAUCCAUAGGUUAAUGAGGCGAACCGGGGGAACUGAAACAUCUAAGUACCCCGAGGAAAAGAAAUCAACCGAGAUUCCCCCAGUAGCGGCGAGCGAACGGGGAGGAGCCCAGAGCCUGAAUCAGCAUGUGUGUUAGUGGAAGCGUCUGGAAAGGCGCGCGAUACAGGGUGACAGCCCCGUACACAAAAGCGCAUGUGCUGUGAGCUCGAUGAGUAGGGCGGGACACGUGGUAUCCUGUCUGAAUAUGGGGGGACCAUCCUCCAAGGCUAAAUACUCCUGACUGACCGAUAGUGAACCAGUACCGUGAGGGAAAGGCGAAAAGAACCCCGGCGAGGGGAGUGAAAAAGAACCUGAAACCGUGUACGUACAAGCAGUGGGAGCACAGGUUUACCUGUGUGACUGCGUACCUUUUGUAUAAUGGGUCAGCGACUUAUAUUCUGUAGCAAGGUUAACCGUAUAGGGGAGCCGGAGGGAAACCGAGUCUUAACCGGGCGUUAAGUUGCAGGGUAUAGACCCGAAACCCGGUGAUCUAGCCAUGGGCAGGUUGAAGGUUGGGUAACACUAACUGGAGGACCGAACCGACUAAUGUUGAAAAAUUAGCGGAUGACCUGUGGCUGGGGGUGAAAGGCCAAUCAAACCGGGAGAUAGCUGGUUCUCCCCGAAAGCUAUUUAGGUAGCGCCUCGUGAAUUCAUCUCCGGGGGUAGAGCACUGUUUCGGCUAGGGGGCCAUCCCGGCUUACCAACCCGAUGCAAACUGCGAAUACCGGAGAAUGUUAUCACGGGAGACACACGGCGGGUGCUAACGUCCGUCGUGAAGAGGGAAACAACCCAGACCGCCAGCUAAGGUCCCAAAGUCAUGGUUAAGUGGGAAACGAUGUGGGAAGGCCCAGACAGCCAGGAUGUUGGCUUAGAAGCAGCCAUCAUUUAAAGAAAGCGUAAUAGCUCACUGGUCGAGUCGGCCUGCGCGGAAGAUGUAACGGGGCUAAACCAUGCACCGAAGCUGCGGCAGCGACGCUGAUGCGUUGUUGGGUAGGGGAGCGUUCUGUAAGCCUGUGAAGGUGUGUCGUGAGGCAUGCUGGAGGUAUCAGAAGUGCGAAUGCUGACAUAAGUAACGAUAAAGCGGGUGAAAAGCCCGCUCGCCGGAAGACCAAGGGUUCCUGUCCAACGUUAAUCGGGGCAGGGUGAGUCGACCCCUAAGGCGAGGCCGAAAGGCGUAGUCGAUGGGAAACGGGUUAAUAUUCCCGUACUUGGUGUUACUGCGAAGGGGGGACGGAGAAGGCUAUGUUGGCCGGGCGACGGUUGUCCCGGUUUAAGCGUGUAGGUGUGUGUUCCAGGUAAAUCCGGUUCACUUUAACACUGAGGCGUGACGACGAGGCACUACGGUGCUGAAGCAACAAAUGCCCUGCUUCCAGGAAAAGCCUCUAAGCAUCAGGUAACAUCAAAUCGUACCCCAAACCGACACAGGUGGUCAGGUAGAGAAUACCAAGGCGCUUGAGAGAACUCGGGUGAAGGAACUAGGCAAAAUGGUGCCGUAACUUCGGGAGAAGGCACGCUGACACGUAGGUGAAGUGAUUUACUCACGGAGCUGAAGUCAGUCGAAGAUACCAGCUGGCUGCAACUGUUUAUUAAAAACACAGCACUGUGCAAACACGAAAGUGGACGUAUACGGUGUGACGCCUGCCCGGUGCCGGAAGGUUAAUUGAUGGGGUCAGCGCAAGCGAAGCUCCUGAUCGAAGCCCCGGUAAACGGCGGCCGUAACUAUAACGGUCCUAAGGUAGCGAAAUUCCUUGUCGGGUAAGUUCCGACCUGCACGAAUGGCGUAAUGAUGGCCAGGCUGUCUCCACCCGAGACUCAGUGAAAUUGAACUCGCUGUGAAGAUGCAGUGUACCCGCGGCAAGACGGAAAGACCCCGUGAACCUUUACUAUAGCUUGACACUGAACAUUGAGCCUUGAUGUGUAGGAUAGGUGGGAGGCUUUGAAGUGUGGACGCCAGUCUGCAUGGAGCCGACCUUGAAAUACCACCCUUUAAUGUUUGAUGUUCUAACGUGGACCCGUAAUCCGGGUUGCGGACAGUGUCUGGUGGGUAGUUUGACUGGGGCGGUCUCCUCCUAAAGAGUAACGGAGGAGCACGAAGGUUGGCUAAUCCUGGUCGGACAUCAGGAGGUUAGUGCAAUGGCAUAAGCCAGCUUGACUGCGAGCGUGACGGCGCGAGCAGGUGCGAAAGCAGGUCAUAGUGAUCCGGUGGUUCUGAAUGGAAGGGCCAUCGCUCAACGGAUAAAAGGUACUCCGGGGAUAACAGGCUGAUACCGCCCAAGAGUUCAUAUCGACGGCGGUGUUUGGCACCUCGAUGUCGGCUCAUCACAUCCUGGGGCUGAAGUAGGUCCCAAGGGUAUGGCUGUUCGCCAUUUAAAGUGGUACGCGAGCUGGGUUUAGAACGUCGUGAGACAGUUCGGUCCCUAUCUGCCGUGGGCGCUGGAGAACUGAGGGGGGCUGCUCCUAGUACGAGAGGACCGGAGUGGACGCAUCACUGGUGUUCGGGUUGUCAUGCCAAUGGCACUGCCCGGUAGCUAAAUGCGGAAGAGAUAAGUGCUGAAAGCAUCUAAGCACGAAACUUGCCCCGAGAUGAGUUCUCCCUGAGACUUAGAGUCUCCUGAAGGAACGUUGAAGACGACGACGUUGAUAGGCCGGGUGUGUAAGCGCAGCGAUGCGUUGAGCUAACCGGUACUAAUGAACCGUGAGGCUUAACCUU
rnacentral:rRNA from 3 species